AUCAUCAUUAUUAUUAUUCAUGGGAAAGCUACUUAUACUAAAAUAAUAAUCAUCAUUAUUAUUUUUUUAAAAAGUUAGGGAACUAUACCUAACUAUGCUAAUCUGUUAUUUGCAUCAAAUAUAUAAAGACUGUAUGCAUUUUGUGUUACUGCAUUAUAAAUUUUUCCAGCUUCCUUGUGAUCAGAUGUUAGCUGAAAAGAUGUUUCUGAAAUGCAUGUAAUAACCCAUGAGGAAUGGCUAUCAUCGUUUUGUCGUAUUUUUCUUCCACUUCUUGUAACUACUAUAAUGUGACUGCUAUUACAAUGUGAAGUUCUGAACUAUGAUCUUGUUUCUGCCCACCAAUAUGUAUAUACUUCUUUCUUAUUGUUGAGUGAAAGCCUGGAUCUUGAAUGUUGGGACUAGAUCAAAGAACGGAGAAUGAUGAACAAAGUGUUAGGCUAUCUGAGAGUAAUCUUCUGCAGGAUUUUGUUUUAAUCUGUGUAUCUUAACCAUGUUCAGGUCUGUUGCAGUGAAAAUAUAGUUUUGUUAAAUGAAGAGCAGUCCAUAACUGUUUCUUGAGUCCUUGGUCACUGAAAUAAAAUAGUGCUCCUCACAAAAUGCUUAAGAAGGUAAACACAGAGGAGAUUCAUUACUUUUUACGAAUGAAGUUAUUCAAGGAUAGCUAACAGGAAAGACAAGGGUCUCAACCACCUUAAACGAAUGUUUGGCUAAUCAAUGUCAUGAAGCUAUUGUGAGAUGUAGUAGUCUGAAGGGUUGAAAUUUGUGGAUUCUGAAGGAGCACUUCAACUACUUGAACUUAAGAUAUAUCCAAUCCGUGGAAUUUUGUGAGAUGGUUAGCUAUUGUUGACAGUCCUUGGAAAUUAUUGACCUAUAUUUUCAUUCAGGUUAAGGGCCCAUCUAGUUUGGUUUAAGUGCUGGGUGGGAACCUGCUUUGCUGCAGUGGCUUUGGCUCCCUCUGGGCUGAAGCCACCUAGGGCCGUUUCUCCCAAACUGUCGCCAUUGCAAGAACCAACUUCAACUUCACUUGGGCCAACAAACACCUGAGGUGGGCUCCUGCUGGGCCAAACUCAGUUCAGAUGCCCAGUUACAGGCAACCAAAUAGGCCCUAAGCCAGAUGAAGCCUUUUGGCAUAGAGAAGAGCACGCAUUCUUGUUUAGCUUCUACAUAAUAUGGUUACCUUCUUAGUCUUUUACAUCGUAUUGUAUGCUAGCUUGAUCUUUCUGAACUGGUAUUUUUUGCAUCCAAAAUGGCAUUCCCUUGGAUUUCAUAUAUAUUGAUAAACUAUUACAUCCAAGUAAAAGUGAAGUUCUAACCCUUCCAUAGGAAUAUGCAAAAUAAUGUGACUUAAUUUUGAUUUUUUCUAUUUUUAAUUCGUUAUUCCUUGGCUAAAGAGGCUGGCAGCACACAUUUUUGCAUGGGUGCUUCAUGGAGAGAUAUAGUAGGAAGGAAGACAAAUUUCAACCAGAUCCUUGAAUAUGUCGAGGAAAUAAGUUCUCUUGGGGGAUCCAUGUAGUUGUUGACAAAAGCGCUUGGAUUGUAUGCCAAUCCAAAUGCAUAAUCAAGGUUUUAAGUUUCCUUUUUGACCUGAGAACUCUUUAUAUAGUAGAUAUUUUAAAUUUUUCAUAGAUAUAUCUCUUCUUUGUGAGCGAAGUUAUGCAGUUCUUUUCAUUUAUCAGAGGCAUUAUAUGACUUGGAAAAGCAGAAGAGGGCUGUGUCUCUCUUUUGCGUAUGCUGGCCACCCUUCCUACAUACCCUGAAAGUGUUCCCAUCAAUUCUCUGGUUGCUGUCGAGGGCAUACCUCUUCAAGGUCAGAAGGUGAUAAAAUUAUCUACCUAUGUGAGUGAUAUUUCAAUUGUGAAGUUCCUUAAUAACAUUUUCUCUAUUUAUGGAUAUUGUUGGUGCUAUCUCAGUCAUAAAUUCAUUGACAUAUUGAACUAUGUACUGCAUGACUGCCUGAUAUAUAUCCAACUGCACCAAAUUCAUCAUGCAUUUCUUCCCAUGUUCUUAAACUGAUGCUAAAUUCAACCACUACCUGCCUUUUCAAUUUUGACCAAGUCCAUCUCAGAUCCCCAGUAUCUUGUAUGCAAGUAAACUUUUACUUCCUACACCAUGAUCGGUCAAGUUGAAUCCAGAUUCCAGAUACUAUUCCAUUGGUAGAUAAAAUACUAUGCUGAGACUCGAAACAACAUAUUUUGAUAUGAUAUACUUUCAUCAGUGAUAUUUCAUAUCUUUUCAUGAAUCAAUGAAACCACUGGCUAUUUUUCCUAUAAGAAGGAUAAUUUUACUCAUCAUAAUAAUGUAUAUAAAGGCCAUUUCUAUAGCUAGGACAAAAAUUGACUCGAAAAUUAAGCUGGCUUUCACCUAAGGCAUGAGAUGCUUUGGCGAGGCUUUAUGUUUGAUAUCUACUAACUAUUACUCUUCAUCAUGUGGAGAUAUUGGAGAUGAUUCAGAUGAUCGCAGCUGCUCGUAUCAUGAUGCCAGAGGCAAUGGUGAGGCUAUCAGCUGGCCGAGUACGAUUCUCCAUGCCUGAGCAAGUACUAUGCUUCCUUGCUGGUGCCAAUUCUCUCCACACAGGAGACGUUAUUGACAAUGCUCAACAAUGACUUUGAUGCGGACCAAAUGAUGUUCAAAAUCCUCGGUUUGAUCCCUAAAGCUCCUAGUUUUUCAGAAGAAAUGGCAGCACCAGAACUGGCGAGAUGUGAUGAACCAUCUCCAGUAUAGGUUGAAGCGACUAACUUCCAAGAGGGUAUUGAUAUCCAGUAUUUUGUUGGGCACAUCCUGUUGUACAUUAAGUUAAACCAGGAAAUAAAUUCUGAUUUAUUACUAAA